UGGACUCUUACAUCUGCUCCUUUAUGUGCAGAAACACAGGGAGAGAGUCAAGCCAAGUGCGGCUCCCCUACUUGGCCAAUGUGAAUAGUAAAGUGCUGUGUGAGUGGAAAAGCAGUUAGAUUUCCUAACUUUACUACACUGGGAUUUCCCAGGAAAGCACAGGCUGGAAGAAUGAUGUAAUGGGUAUAUUUUACAUAUGUUUUCAAUAAGCAUGCCUGUGUGGGCCAUUCAUGGAAAAACCCUUCCCAUCAAGUCACACCACGUGGGACAGAGUCUGGCAGUACCAGCAGUGCCCCAGUCCCCAUAGUCUCCUGUUUCAGUCGUUAAAAGGCGAUUUUGACUCUCCCUUUGUAGAAAUCAUACAGCUUCUGUAUCUGAUCAGAAGGUCAACAACACAAUCAUCUGAUGUUAGGCUAGAGGUAAGAACAGCCGGCUCUGGGGUUCCCGGAGGAAGGAAUUGCCAAUCUCGCCUGAAAGAACUGGGUCUGUGACUCCCAGGUGUGAAGCCACUGGCGGAGUAUCCAGGGGCCGAGGGCUGAUGCAUUUCUCCUCAUCCACCUCACUCUGACCCCGGAUGCCAGUUAACCCAGGAGAGGUCCCUGAACACAACCCCGAUGCAAGCAAAGGUGGUGGACAAUACGGAGGAGGAUGAAGAGGCAUGGUCCACCACAACAGGUUGCCCAGAGAGGCUGUAGAGAGUUUAAAAGGAAGGAGUGAGAGGGAUCACCAGACCAUGAAAAGGCUGAAGGACAAAACCGUGGAGAAAGUACAAGCAUACCUGGGAGAUACCGAGGGUUCAGAUCCAGACCACCACAAUCAAGCAUCCCCUGUGGGAGGAAGGAGGAGCUCAAGGUCAGGAGAGCACUGUUCCCUGGGAGGCAUGGAAAUUAAGGCUCAAGAAGGUGACUUGCCCAAGACUUCAUAGCCCACAACUGCUGGAGGUGGGAUUUGAACUCGUCUGCGAGGUUCGAAAUCACCCCAGCCCAGUGCCUGCUCCUGACAGAGACUCAGCAAGUGCAGCUCUGCGUGUUUCCUCCAUCACAGAGGCCUGCUUAGGGGAAAAAUCUUGCUGAAGAAAAGUGGCCGAUGGUUUCGAGAGAAGAGACGCUUAUUCAUGUAAUUCUCAAGAAUCCCAUCUCCGGCUUAGAAGGACACCUUUUCUGAUUUCCCAUUCAAAGGGACUGACGUACACUCAGGGGCUGAGGCAGCAGCUGUUUUUGCUGUGCACAGACUGGAGAGCGAUGUGUGAGUGAAGUCUGUGGCCACUUCUCUCCUCCCCCGAGCCUUCUGGGGUUUGGGUUUAUGACUCCAGAGGCGGAGAAGCGUGUUCCCUUUCUGUGCGGAUCCCGUCAUUGACAGAGUCUGUUUUAGAAGAGCAUUUUUAGAUGGCAGCGAACGUUCCAGACCCCAAAGCAUUCUCUUUACAGCACCGUCUAGCUUGGGUGGGGAUAGGGUGGGUUUGUGAACACGUGUGUGCGUGAGAGUGUGAGUGUGUGCAAGUGUGUGCACGUGUGUGUCAGUCCCUCUGUCUGGCUCCCACUGCUAGCCACCUCUGUCAUAUCCUGACUAUUUCGCCGGGGCAUCGUCCAGCCAUAGGAAUCUUCAGCAAACCUACAGUUCAGACGAACGCCCUCGUUUCUGCCCUGAGAAGAAAGUCCGUUGAGUCUGAGGGCUCCCGAGUCAUUCUCUCAAGGCAUUCAUUCAGUUUUGUUUCCCCUGGUGCUACCCUCUCUGAAGUCGUUAUUACUCAUUAGGUGUAUUGCACAUACAGAAAAAGUAGGUCAAGGAUUAAAAAAAAAAAGAAAAAACAUCUCUGGGAGAAGCACAAGUAUUGUGUAAAGCUAUUUUGAACUUGCGUGAGAUUUUUCAAGGGGGAAAUGUUUUGUGCAGAGACGGCUGCUGCCACAGCUGACUUACCAAUGAAUGCCCGUGUCUGAGCCUUUCAUACGCUAACCACGUGACCUUGGAAUUCCAUUUUGAAAUGAUAAUUGUGCCCAGUGGGGUGAGCAGCCUCUCAAUCCAGGUUCUAUACAAUAUAGGUCACCUCGAGGAUCCUCAGUAGAACAGGAACAAGAGAAUCCUGAGAAAUCUCUGUAAAGAAACAGAAAGAAUGAGAGAGAAAACUGUGUGUCUAACCACCGGGCCCCUGGGCCCUAUGUGCCACCCAGGUUUGGAGCAAGGCUGCGGGGCAGAUGAUGUCCAGGAGAGCCUCAGAAAGUCCGGGCUCUAGAAAAAAAUACGUUCCAGCUCACUCUGCUCUGACCCUGCAUCUGCUCUGUGCUGAAAGCUUUGUUGCUGCCAUGAAUAUAUUUAAGGGGAAUAAAAUGUGCAGUGUCAAAGCGACUGGCUUGAAGUGGGCUGGAUGCAUCCUAGGCUCCGCGAGGGAAAAGGCCUCUAGCUGGCAGUUGACAGAAGGGGGAAGGCAGUGAGGAGUGGGCCCACCCACGGGAGUCUGGGCAUGAGGCGGGUCCUGGUUCCCAGGCUGCCCCGUGGGAAUAUGCUCCAUGGGCUGGGGCUGCUGUGCUGGCUGCUCUUGCCCCCAGGGGGUCACUACGCUGGGCUUCUCCAUCAGGGCUAUCACGAUAUUGCCCAGGGUUUACAGGUUUACAGGCAUUAUCUCACUCAGUGUUGUUUUGCUCCCUUUCACAAAGAAAGGAAGGAAAAGAGAGGCAGGGGGUGAGAGAGGAAGCCAGACUAGCAUUCAGCUCUGCUAGUUGUUCCUCGCCUGGGUUAGGCUUCCCUGGAAAGUAGCCUGCAUUGUCUUGCACCUCCUUCAUCUGACAGCCAGGUGCUCCUACUGGAGCAUAACUGUAGUAGGCCAUUUCUGUGCCAGUUGACUGAGAAGGCAGUGUCCCUGCUUUUCUGGAAACUUCCACACAACACAAUUCCCGAUGGAAAGCAUUUAACAAUUAUGGGUGGGGCUCUGAUCAAAAAGUAAGCUUUAGAAAAGGUUAACAGCUAAGCUGGGCAUGGUGGCUCACACCUGUAAUCCCAGCACUUUAGGAGGCCGAGGCGUGCAGAUCACCUGAGGUCAGGAGUUCGAGACCAACCUGGCCAUCGUGGCAAAACUCUGUCUCUACUAAAAAUACAAACAACAACAACAACAAAAGAAAAAAAAAUUAGCCGAUCAUGGUGGCAGGCACAAGCCUGUAAUCCCAGCUACUUAGAAGGCUGAGGCAGGAGAAUCGUUUGAACCUGGGAGGUGGAGGUUGCAGUGAGCCGAGAUUGUACUACAGCACUCCAGCCUGGGCAAAAGAGUGAGACGCUCUCUCAAAUUAAAAAACAACAAAAAAAGGUAACAGCAAGUGGUUACAACCCAUGAAUCUUUAAUCAUUUUAAAUAGUAAAAGUGUUUGGAAACUCUUAUAAUAUUAGAGCUAAAACACACCUUAGGGAUGAUUUAAGGCACUUUUUCAAACGAUAAACAAGAUCCAGAUAAUUACGUCAAAUAUUUAUAGUAACCCAUCUUAUUGGUGCCAGUUUGAGAAUAGAACCCACAUUUGCAAAUAAUCUCAACACCUUCUGUUUCACCUCACUUUUCAAAGGUCCUUGAGAAGGGUAUUUGCACACUGCCUGCAAGGUAGCUGCAAUGGCUAUAAAGCUAUUGCGUAGAUAGAAUUCCAAUUGCGUAGAUAGAAUUCUACUCUAUCUGUGUUAACCUAGCUAAAAUUAAUGUGCUGUGAUAAAACUCACCAACUAAACAUG
rnacentral:lncRNA from 1 species